CCUGGCUCCCGAUGAGGGCUAGCUACAGGCUUAACACAUGCAAGUCGAGCGCCUUCAAGGUCUUAGCUUGCUAAGGCCGAUGGCGACCGGCGCACGGGUGAGUAACACGUAUCCAACCUGCCGUCUACUCUUGGACAGCCUUCUGAAAGGAAGAUUAAUACAAGAUGGCAUCAUGAGUCCGCAUGUUCACAUGAUUAAAGGUAUUCCGGUAGACGAUGGGGAUGCGUUCCAUUAGAUAGUAGGCGGGGUAACGGCCCACCUAGUCUUCGAUGGAUAGGGGUUCUGAGAGGAAGGUCCCCCACAUUGGAACUGAGACACGGUCCAAACUCCUACGGGAGGCAGCAGUGAGGAAUAUUGGUCAAUGGGCGAGAGCCUGAACCAGCCAAGUAGCGUGAAGGAUGACUGCCCUAUGGGUUGUAAACUUCUUUUAUAAAGGAAUAAAGUCGGGUAUGGAUACCCGUUUGCAUGUACUUUAUGAAUAAGGAUCGGCUAACUCCGUGCCAGCAGCCGCGGUAAUACGGAGGAUCCGAGCGUUAUCCGGAUUUAUUGGGUUUAAAGGGAGCGUAGAUGGAUGUUUAAGUCAGUUGUGAAAGUUUGCGGCUCAACCGUAAAAUUGCAGUUGAUACUGGAUAUCUUGAGUGCAGUUGAGGCAGGCGGAAUUCGUGGUGUAGCGGUGAAAUGCUUAGAUAUCACGAAGAACUCCGAUUGCGAAGGCAGCCUGCUAAGCUGCAACUGACAUUGAGGCUCGAAAGUGUGGGUAUCAAACAGGAUUAGAUACCCUGGUAGUCCACACGGUAAACGAUGAAUACUCGCUGUUUGCGAUAUACAGCAAGCGGCCAAGCGAAAGCGUUAAGUAUUCCACCUGGGGAGUACGCCGGCAACGGUGAAACUCAAAGGAAUUGACGGGGGCCCGCACAAGCGGAGGAACAUGUGGUUUAAUUCGAUGAUACGCGAGGAACCUUACCCGGGCUUAAAUUGCAGAUGAAUUACGGUGAAAGCCGUAAGCCGCAAGGCAUCUGUGAAGGUGCUGCAUGGUUGUCGUCAGCUCGUGCCGUGAGGUGUCGGCUUAAGUGCCAUAACGAGCGCAACCCUUGUUGUCAGUUACUAACAGGUUCCGCUGAGGACUCUGACAAGACUGCCAUCGUAAGAUGUGAGGAAGGUGGGGAUGACGUCAAAUCAGCACGGCCCUUACGUCCGGGGCUACACACGUGUUACAAUGGGGGGUACAGAGGGCCGCUACCACGCGAGUGGAUGCCAAUCCCCAAAACCUCUCUCAGUUCGGACUGGAGUCUGCAACCCGACUCCACGAAGCUGGAUUCGCUAGUAAUCGCGCAUCAGCCACGGCGCGGUGAAUACGUUCCCGGGCCUUGUACACACCGCCC
rnacentral:rRNA from 1 species